ACGGGGUCUGAGACGGAGUUGGUGAUGCCAGAGUGAGAAAUGGUGUAUUCAAAUUUGAAAUGUAUUUUUGUUUUGUUUAUUGUAUUGUUUAUUGAUGUCUGCAUUUCCAGUGACCAGACCAAAAUUUUUCAAAUUUUAUAUUUGGGCGGGGGAUGUUAUAUACCUCUAUUUGGUAUUUCUGGUUUACCGGAAAUGUAGGACAUAAUUUAUACUGUGUAUUGUAUUUUACGGGACUGUAUACCUUAUGUAUGCUUGUCGCCGGCGAACAGUUAGUAUCGUCUGCCAUACAUAUGUUUGUUAAAUGGCAGUAAAAUAAAAUUUGGAUAACGAAAAGCGACUUCAAUCCCAUAGUCCCCCCCCCCCCCCCCCCCCCCCCGCAUAACAAAAAAGGAUUGAGGCCCACGACACUAGAGUAAAAAAAGUGCACUCUUUUCAGUAAAACAUAAGGACAAUCAAAACAUUAAAACAUACAUACAACUGCAGGAUGGUGCAAGUCAUGCAGCAACAGACGAUGUCUGACUUGCCGACAAAUACUAACACUCAAACAUUCACUUGCUAUUCCACUUGCUCUGUGUAAACUAUAUUUUGCAAUGUUAUGUAGCUUGCAAAACCCAGAAUGUGUGUAUACCUUCUUCAGUGUCGAUGUGGCAUGCAGUAUGCUGUCGAAACAGAAUAGCCUUAGUUUCAACAAACGCAUAAAUGUUCAUUGACGUAACUACACCUGCCAGCCCGAUCUGCCCGUAAGUCGUCAUUUGAGAUCACCCGGGCACGCCCAAUCUGAUCUAAAAACAACUUUAGAAUCACAAUCAUAGUGGUGGUCAUGGUCUGAAAGACUGGUUCGAGAAAGGUUUUGGAUGGGAAAUCUAAGGACAGUUUCCCCAGAGGGCAUUAAUGAAACAACAUAGAAUGAGUCACUCAUUUUCCUGACAUCACUUGUUUUCAUUAACUCUGGCUUCUUUAUUUGACUCUUACAGUUUUAAAUAUUUGUUUUGGAAUUUUGGAAAUUAUACUAGUUUAAAUGACAGAGUUCU
rnacentral:lncRNA from 1 species